GCUAAUAUAGUUUAGUAGUAAAAUAACUGAUUUGUAAUCAGUAGAGCAUGAGUUCAAUUCUCAUUGUUAGUU
rnacentral:tRNA from 1 species